rnacentral:rRNA from 1 species
GCCAACGGCCAUAGCCAACGUGAAACCCAGUUGCUGCGUCCGAUCACUGAAGUUAAGCCAACGUCGGGCGCGGUAGUACUUGAUGGGUGACCGCCUGGGAAAUCCUGGGUGCUGUUGGAU